UGGUAUGAUGCUGCUAGAAGCUAUUUUUGGCACUUGACCCAAGACCAGUCCGCAACAUGUUGUGGAGUCCUACCGAAGCCUCCCCCGGCUCCACAGAGCAGAAUCAGAACUCUGAAAGAAGUGAAUUGUCCAGUGUUCAGCAUCAUCCAUUCUCUGUCCGUGCUGAGAGAAACAUAUCUCCAAAACAUGAUACUACCACCACCGUCUUUCACAGUCACAAUGCUGUGCUCAGGAUGUUUCUACAUUUUCAACCUUACGAAAUAAGCUCUACGUCCUGAGAGAUGAACUACAGAGCAGUAACACCAAGAAUGGGACAUUUCCAACUGUAAUCCGUCUCCACUUCCUGAUGCAAAAUGUGAUUUCGGUUGGAAACCUGCAGAUGAAAGCAGGGAUGACGACUGAAGACGCUCACGGACUGGUGAACUGGAGA